rnacentral:rRNA from 1 species
UACGGAGGGUGCGAGCGUUGUCCGGAAUUACUGGGCGUAAAGCGCACGUAGGCGGCUUUGUAAGUUAGAGGUGAAAGCCCGGGGCUCAACUCCGGAAUUGCCUUUAAGGCUGCAUCGCUAGAAUUGUGGAGAGGUAAGUGGAAUUCCGAGUGUAGAGGUGAAAUUCGUAGAUAUUCGGAAGAACACCAGUGGCGAAGGCGACUUACUGGACACAUAUUGACGCUGAGGUGCGAAAGCGUGGGGAGCAAACAGG